rnacentral:misc_RNA from 1 species
CUAUCUGCAGCCCUCCACCGUGUGUGAUAUUCAGUUUUCCAUUACUACCUGAGGUGAGAACUCCACAAGAAAAAAAUCAGGGAUUUUAUUACGGAAUUCAUUUCACCACCAAAACAUCUUAAUAUCUACUUGACAAUGGUAGUCCUGGUACUGAUGAAACCAAAUUUGAAGAAACUCCCCCAGCUGCUAGGUUAAAAUUGGCAUUUUCCCACCAGAAAUUCCCAGUUGAGAAUUUUAGUUAGGUCUGAAUACCAGUUGAAGACUGGCAGCUAGAGAACCCAAUAUGUCUCUUUUUCCAGUGAUGUU